CCCGAAAUUUUCGAAUGAGGAGACUCAUCGUCAGCGAAGUUGGCUUCCAUGCGGGCAGCGAUGACACGCGCCCGCUGUGGCAUGUCCGGCUGCGUCGGCGUGCACUUCUCCUCUAAGUAGAACGUCGCGACCCGCUGGGUGUCGGCUUAAGGACCGAGAUCGGCGACUGUUUAGUUUUUAACAGAAACUGCGACAGACGCUCGGAUUCCCGGCCGGCUGCUCGGCGGUACACGCAAGGUAUCGGGCCGCACUUGAAUGCGUUCAGACGCGUCGCAAGCUCGACCAUUCGUACUUCGAAUCCCGGAUGCACGGACCUAGUGCCGUCCCCGGGGGUGGUUGGCUGUUGGUUGACGAUGUUCUCGAACCGGCCAAAUACCGGUCGGCGACGCUAUUGCUUUGGGUACUUUCAGGACCCGUCUUGAAACACGGACCAAGGAGUCUAACAUGUGCGCGAGUCAUUGGGACGUUGAAACCUAAAGGCGCAUUGAAAGAGAAGAUCGACCUCGCGUCGAUUGAGGGAGGAUGAGCGACGUUUAACGACGUUGCUCCGCACUCCCGGGGCGUCUCUUAAAGUCAUCGGGACUUGAGGCGCACUCAGAGCGUACACGUUGGGACCCGAAAGAUGGUGAACUAUGCCUGGUCAGGACG
rnacentral:rRNA from 1 species